CUGGCCUACGGGAGGCAGCAGUAGGGAAUAUUGGGCAAUGGGCGCAAGCCUGACCCAGCAACGCCGCGUGAAGGAAGAAGGCUUUCGGGUUGUAAACUUCUUUUCUCAGGGACGAAGCAAGUGACGGUACCUGAGGAAUAAGCCACGGCUAACUACGUGCCAGCAGCCGCGGUAAUACGUAGGUGGCAAGCGUUAUCCGGAUUUACUGGGUGUAAAGGGCGUGUAGGCGGGGACGCCAGUCAGAUGUGAAAACCA
rnacentral:rRNA from 1 species